rnacentral:lncRNA from 1 species
CAUUUCUUCUGAUUAAUUUUGGUUGAAGUUUGCAUUUCUGAUACAAGAAUAGCUUUCUCUGCUUGUUUUCCAGUACCAUUUGCAUAGUAUGUCUUUUCCCAUCAUUUCACCUUCAGUCUUUAGAUGUCUUUCACUAUGAGAUAAAGAUAGAAUAUUGUUGGGUCUUGUUUUUUUAUUAAAAUCUGCGAUUCUAUGUCUUUGAUUGAAGAUUUUAGAGCAUUUAUAUUCAUUUUAUUUUAGAGAGAUGAUUUUCAUAUUCUGGAUUUUUUAUUUAUUUCUAAUAUUUAAAUCAGAUUUAAUUCUCUGUUAAUUAUCUAUUCUUCUAGUGUAAUUCCUCCUUAUGCUGGUUUUCAUUUCUUCUUCAUGAAUUAUUUCAUCAAAUAAGUUUUAUAGCAGGAUUUUUGGAUAUGGAUUCUUUUAGCUUCUGUUUAUUGCAGAAGAUUUUUAUUCACCUUCAAUAUUGAAGCUCAAUAUUGCUGGGCAUAAUAUUCUUGGCUGGCCUCCAUUUUCCUUCAGAGCUUGGUAUAUAUUUUUCUAAUCCCUCCUAGUUUUUAGGGUUUGGGUUGAGAAAUCAGUUGAAAUCUAGACUGGUUUACCUCUAAAUUGAUGAGCUACUUUUCUCUUCAGCUUUUAAAAAUUCUAUCCUUCUUUUAUAUGUUAGGCAUUUUCAUUAUAAUGUGUCUUGGAGUAGAUAGGUUGUGAUUUUGUGUAUUUAUAGUCCUAUAUAACACUUGUAUUUGAAUUUCCAUCUCAUUCUUAAUGUUUGGAAAAUUUUCUGAUAUUAUUUCAUUGAAAAGAUUUUAAAUCUCUUUAGCUUGAACUUCAGAGCCAUUAUCCUCCCUGGUGCUUCUUAAAUUUUGCUUCUUGAUGUUAUCCAAAAUUUUUAAAUAUGCUGCUCAUAUUCUUUUAGCAUCUUUUAUUUUUGGCCAACUUUAUUUCAAGUUUAUAUAUUUUGUCUUCAAGGCCUGAAAAUGUAUCUUCAAAGUGGUUUAUUCUAUUGGUAAUGCUUUUCAUUGGAUUUUUAAUUUGGUUUAUUGAGUCUUUCAUUUCAACGUCAGAUUUUUUCAGAAUGUAUAUCUCUUUUAUUAAGUGAUCUUUGACUUCCUGUAUUUUCUUCUUUAAUUUUACUUCUUACAUCUUCUUUUAGCUCAUGGAACAUUUAGCUAUGAAUUUCCUAAAUUCUUUCUCUGACAAUUUCCCCACUGUAGCAUUAAUGCAGUCAGUUGUUUAAGCAUUAUGGGUUGUGUGGGAUGAUUCAUUCCCCUUCUUUUUCACAUUGUUUUUAUGUCUACCCAUCUAUUGGGAUAGUUUUUAUUUCUUCUUUUAAGCAAGGGACUACUUUAUGAGCUCUUUUUCUCUUCAGAGACCUGUGUUAGUUGAAUAUCCAGAUAUUGAUACUUUAAGUCAGUUUGUGACAUAUGCU